AACGAACGCUGGCGGCAGGCUUAACACAUGCAAGUCGAACGCCCCGCAAGGGGAGUGGCAGACGGGUGAGUAACGCGUGGGAACGUACCUUUCGCUUCGGAAUAUUCCCGGGAAACUGGGAGCAAUGGCGAAUACGCCGUAUUGGGAAAGGUUUAUCGGCGAAAGAUCGGCCCGCGUUAGAUUAGGUAGUUGGCGGUGUAAUGGACCACCAAGCCUACGAUCUAUAGCUGGUCUGGGAGGAUGAUCAGCCACACUGGGACUGAGACACGGCCCAGACUCCUACGGGAGGCAGCAGUGGGGAAUUUUGGACAAUGGGCGCAAGCCUGAUCCAGCCAUGCCGCGUGAGUGAAGAAGGCCUUAGGGUUGUAAAACUCUUUCGCCGGAGAAGAUAAUGACGGUAUCCGGAGAAGAAGCCCCGGCUAACUUCGUGCCAGCCGCCGCCGUAA
rnacentral:rRNA from 1 species